GGACUACCGGGGUAUCUAAUCCUGUUUGAUCCCCACGCUUUCGUGCCUCAGCGUCAAUAUCUGCUUAGUAAGCUGCCUUCGCAAUCGGUGUUCUAUGUCAUAUCUAUGCAUUUCACCGCUACAUGACAUAUUCCGCCUACCUCAACAGAAUUCAAGACCAAUAGUAUCAAUGGCAGUUUCCGGGUUGAGCCCGGAGAUUUCACCACUGACUUACUGACCCGCCUACACACCCUUUAAACCCAGUAAAUCCGGAUAACGCUUGCACCCUCCGUAUUACCGCGGCUGCUGGCAC
rnacentral:rRNA from 1 species